CUCCAGCGUCUGCAGUCCUCAGUUUAUCCACCUAAAUACAGUACAGUACCCUGGAAGUGAGAUAAGCACAACAUCGGGUCUGUUCCCACCAGAUGGCAACAUUAGUUACAAGCUCCGGGCAAUCUUCGCAUGACUCCGUAAAAUUACAGUUGUAUACUCCAUUCUGGGCACUUUGUUUAUGCAAAAAGGAGUGAAUUUCUGAGACCGCAGAGAUGCGUAUGAAUACAAGAGCAUUAUUACUGGAAAUUCCCAAUUACAAUUUUACAAAAGAGAGGGGAAAAAAAGCAAAAGAUUCUAUUCUGAGUUGAUGUUUUGGGAGGCUUGUCCACACGUCAUGGUUAGGUAGCCACUUGAUUGGGUGUCUGUGUAUAAAAGCCAGGUCCGCUCGGAUCGCUGUUUAGUUCAUUAUCCGAAGUGGAUUUCUGUGUGUGCGAUUGAGGAAAAAAAACGUGAAAGGCAGAGAAGCGAAGAGGAAACACAGGCGCGCACACACACACGGGGAUAUAUUUUGACGAAAAAUGCAAAGCUGUGCGAAAUCCUGGGGGCUCCUGGUCGGUUCAGUGGGUUUGUGGUCCACCUGCCCGAAAGUUAGGGGUUCUGCCCGGGGCAGCUUGGCGAUUUGCAGACCCAGACCCUGGGGCAAACCCGAGCAACGGAGCGGCUGCAGCGUGCGAUCCCUGGGCUCCAGACCUCCCCAUUCCGCCGGUAGCAGCAGGUUGAUAGACAGAAUCUUGCCCAGGCACGAUGACUUCUCAGAGAGGCACAUUGGACCAGGAGACAAAGAGAAAAGAGAAAUGCUGGACACUCUGGGACUGGCGUCUAUUGAUGAACUUAUUGACAAGACUGUCCCUGCCAGCAUCCGUCUCACUCGACCCCUGAAAAUGGACGAUCCCGUGUGUGAAAAUGAAAUCCUUGCCAGUCUACACAAGAUUGCAAGCAAGAAUAAAAUCUGGAGGUCUUACAUUGGAAUGGGUUAUUACAACUGCUCAGUACCACAAGCAAUUCUCCGCAACUUGCUGGAAAAUUCAGGAUGGGUUACACAGUAUACCCCGUAUCAGCCUGAAGUUUCCCAGGGCAGGUUGGAAAGUUUGCUCAACUAUCAGACAAUGGUGUGUGACCUCACUAGCAUGGAUGUGGCCAAUGCCUCUUUACUGGAUGAAGGAACAGCUGCCGCCGAAGCAAUGCAGCUGUGCCAUAGACACAAUAAGCGAAGAAAAUUCUUUGUGGACGCUCGUUGUCAUCCUCAGACAAUAGCUGUUGUGCAGACAAGAGCAAAUUACAUAGGAGUUACAACAGAGUUGAAGUUGCCCCAUGAGAUGGAUUUCAGCAGGAAAGAUAUCAGUGGUGUGCUGUUCCAGUAUCCCGAUAGUGAGGGAAGAGUUGAAGACUUUGCUGAACUUGUUGACCUCGCACAUCAAAACGGAGCCUUGACAUGUUGUGCGACCGACCUGUUGGCAUUGUGUGUGCUGAGACCUCCUGGAGAAUUUGCAGUUGAUAUCGUGCUUGGUAGCUCACAGAGGUUUGGUGUGCCACUUUCCUACGGAGGGCCACAUGCUGCUUUCUUUGCCGUCAAAGAAAACCUUGUAAGACUGAUGCCGGGAAGAAUGGUCGGAGUUACAAGGGACGCUGCAGGAAAGGAGGUGUAUCGUCUUGCGCUACAGACGAGAGAACAGCAUAUCAGGAGGGAUAAAGCUACCAGCAACAUUUGCACAGCUCAGGCACUUUUGGCCAACAUGGCUGCAAUGUUUGCUAUUUAUCAUGGCCCGAAUGGACUGAAACACAUAGCAAAGCGUGUGCACAACGCUAUUUUAAUUUUAGCUGAAGGUUUAAAACGUGCUGGGCAUAAGGUACAGCACGAAUUAUUUUUUGACACUUUGAAGAUCCACUGUGGUGUGGCUACCCAGGAGAUCGUUCACAGGGGUGCCCAACGGCAGAUUAACCUUCGAGAAUAUGGUAACUGUAUGUUGGGAGUGUCCCUGGAUGAAACAGUGACUGAGAGAGACUUGGAUGAUCUCCUCUGGGUGUUUGGCUGUGAAUCAUCAGCUGAGCUAAUAGCUGAGAGCAUGGGAGAUGAACCAAAGGGUAUCUUGGCUACACCGUUUAAGAGGACAAGCAAAUUCCUUACACAUCCAGUCUUCAACAGUUAUCACUCAGAAACGAAUAUUGUCCGGUACAUGAAGAAGUUAGAAAAUAAAGAUAUUUCUCUGGUUCACAGCAUGAUUCCACUGGGAUCUUGCACGAUGAAGUUGAAUAGUUCCUCAGAACUCACGCCCAUUACUUGGCUAGAAUUUGGGAAUGUGCACCCUUUUGUACCUCUGGAUCAGGCGCAAGGAUACCAGCAGUUAUUCCAGGAACUGGAGCGGGACUUGUGUGAAAUCACUGGAUACGACAAAAUUUCUUUCCAGCCAAAUAGUGGCGCACAAGGCGAAUAUGCUGGAUUAGCAGCAAUUAAGGCUUAUUUAAGUUCAAAAGGAGAGAACCAGAGAACUGUCUGUCUGAUCCCAAGAUCAGCUCAUGGCACUAAUCCAGCCAGUGCACAAAUGGCAGGCAUGAAAAUCCAACCAGUUGAAGUGGACAAGAAUGGAAGCAUAGAUGUUGCACAUUUAAAAGCUAUGGUUGACAAGUAUAAGGAUAACCUGGCUGCCAUAAUGAUCACCUAUCCAUCUACUUACGGUGUGUUUGAGGAGAACAUUAGUGAUGUGUGUGAGCUAAUCCACAAUCACGGGGGACAAGUUUACCUGGAUGGAGCAAACAUGAAUGCACAGGUGGGCCUCUGUCGUCCUGGUGAUUAUGGAUCUGAUGUGUCUCAUUUAAACCUGCAUAAAACCUUCUGUAUUCCUCACGGAGGAGGAGGACCUGGCAUGGGACCAAUUGGAGUGAAGAAACACCUUGCUCCAUACUUGCCCAGUCAUCCAGUGAUCCCUCCAGUGUCCGAUAGUGAUGCUCGUCCUUUGGGUACGAUCAGUGCUGCCCCUUGGGGCUCUAGUGCCAUCCUGCCAAUCUCCCUGGCCUACAUUAAGUUGAUGGGAUCAAACGGACUUCAGCAUGCUUCUGAGAUUGCCAUUCUAAAUGCAAACUACAUGGCCAAGCGGCUGGAAGCUUUCUACAAAAUUGUUUUCAGGGGAGCAAAGGGGUCAGGGAUCAUGUCUUUCUGUGUUUGGCAAUAGAAUCCACGCCAUUGGAGGUGAGCUGCUACUGGAGUACUGCCCUCCUGAAAGGUGAGCCAAUAAGAAAGGUGGGUUGAGCCUACUGGAAUGAGAUCCAUCUAUGAUGGCUUCUAGUUGAUUUCUUGUUCUGGGUAUGUUCAGUCAAAACAGGGAAGCACAGUUAAUUCAAUGAUUGUGCCUCCUUUGCUCAACCGGGAUGAUGUUGCUGUAAUAGCGAUGGUCUUAAUUUGUCUCUACUGUUUAAAUAAAAGAAACUUGUUUUAGUAAAUGAAAUGAAACUUAGAGACAGUAAAAAGAGUCAUUAGGUCCUCCUUCCCACUGUAGAUGACUCGCGGUACACUGAUCUGUAUUAUAUUAGACUCGAUUGUUUGUGAUUAGGUUUGGCACAGCAGCACUUUACUUUCCUGAGAAUAGCAGGCCCAGUCUAUUGGCCUGCUAGAUAAUAGAUGUAUAGGUGAGGUAAGCAGAUUAUGCAACACAUAAAAAACAGAUUUUUCUGCGUUAAUUUGUGACUGUGCAAGUAUACUUAAGUGUAUGUAAUGAAAUGAUUCAUUUAACCAAAUGUGUCCAGUUUGUUUUCCUGCACUCAGUCAUGAGAGCAGAGUGACAAGCAGGAUCAAACUUUGAGGAAAAGUUUCUGGAUUCUCUUAGUGUUAUUAUCAAGGAACUUUGAUGUUUUUCAUCAUUACUUUGUUUGUCUAUAUUGUAUGUUAUUUUAAAUUGUAAUCAAUUAAGCUGAAUUAAAUUAAUUCAACUAAAUUGACAACCCAUUGAGGGGCUCAGUAACGAAUGGCCAAAUCAUAAAUUACACUUGCUAACUUUAAGUGAAAAUGUGGUUUUUCAGUGGGAGAUGAUGCACUCUAAUCGCGGAAGACUGUACUUGAUAAACAAAUUUAUAACGUAAUUGUAUUAAUUGUGUUCAUAUGAAGAAGAUUCUCACCAACGUGGUGUAUGUGUGUGUGUAUAUAUAUUAUGUAUCUGUUAUUGUGAGUGUGGAUAUGUGUGUAGGUGGUCUGAAUGUACCGGUGUUAAUUGCCUAAUUAAGAGCCUCAAUUGGCAGUGGGGUGCGAUCAUCUAAUCAAGGCAGAGGCAGGAAGGCAGUGUGGUCCUACCUGCCAUCCUCCAGGCUAAUUAAAUGCCCCCUUUCUUCCUCCAAACCAGUCAUUAGAAGGGGAUUAAAUUGAUUGUGUAAUCAUUGCACUUCAAGAAAAUCAUGACACUUGUAUCAGCACUAUUUAACUAUUGUGUCAGUGAGUGAACUCUGUUGCUGUUUAUAAUGCUCUUGAUUCAUCACCGCCACCAGUGAGAGAUGUAACAACCAUCAGUACGUCAACACCAUUGGCAGCAAUAUUUAUUCACGGCUGUGGAGCCAGCAAGGGCAGAACUUUCGACUGGGAAAUCAAGACUCACGGGUUUGUUGAAUGUCCUGCAGAAGUGAACUGCAGGACUUCUCUUACGUUUUCUCCACAGCUUUCCUGCCCACUAGCCAGCUUCGUUGAGAGGCUGACUGCCCAUUGGUCGAGACAGUAGCAGGGCAGCUGAUCCCAGGUAAGUAAGAGAUCACUGUGAUGGGGAAGGAAGGUUGGAGGGGCGGGAGGGUAAAUUGUGUAAGAAGUCCAGAGACUGGCAGAGGUGAAUGCUUGGAAAUUGCAGAUAUGCGAGAGGACUGGGACGAGUCUUAAGAUUGGGUUUGCACACUCAGACAUCAUAGGGUUUAGGGAAGCAGGGGACUGGGGACAAGCUCUUGCAAGGGUGGAGGAAGUCUGACCACUGAGCUGGGUGAGCUCUCUAAGCUUGUGGUGAAGUAGAAGAUUGUUGAUGCCAUAGAUGUGGAGCUCCAGGAAGUCAGAGAUCCCAUUGAGUGAGCACACAAAGUUAACAAGAGGCGAAUCUUAAAAUUGGAAUGCUGUGGGGAGGCAAUAUAUCUGCUUUUUUUUGAGCCACAAGCAGCACUAUUCUUGUGUUUCAUUGAGAGAAUGCACUGAAAAGUAACCCAACUACUCCCAAGAGUCAUCACAAAAGUUAAAGAUUAUAAAAUAAGUAUACAAAGAUUUCACAGUUUACUAGAUUAUCAGACCCGGGCUGAUAGAAGAUCUGCACCAAGCUUCUGUACCACCAAGAAUUAUUAUUUAUUACAAGUAAUUAAAUGCUAUUUACAGGUAAACUGUUAUAAACUAAAGGUAAGUAACACUAGUAAUUAAAACUUUAAACCCCUUAUAAAUUUCCCUUAUUUGCACAAGCGUACACACCAUCAGACAGACAGAGAAAGAAAAGCAUUAAUGGGAGAAACUGGGGAAGCAGUUCAGUGACCUUUGUUCACCAGACCUGUUGAGCUGAUUCUUGCUGACAAAAGGUUUCUUCUUUCUUUUCCUUUUCCAAAUCCUUCCACGGAUUUGCAAGAGGCAAAGGGUGGCUGAUUGGCUUAUAAAGGUCCCUGACUUAUCAAUUAGAGGUCACAGUUUACAGCAACUGUUUCUUCAGAUUUAAAGUGCACUUGAGUUCAGAGAACAGAGAGAGAGGCAGUUAAACAAAGACCUGAGGAUACUGGAAGUCUGAAACAAAAACAGAAAUUGCUGGAGAAACUCAGCAGGUCCAGUAGUGUUUGUGAAGAGAAAGCAGUGUUAAUAUUUCAGUUCCCAUGACCCUUCCUCACAGCAGUUGUUUUCAUAGCUGAGGCCCUUUAAUUUGCGAUGCACAAGGCUUGAUUAAUCCAGAAAGUAUGUGGCUGAAGUUCAUUUCACCUUUUUACUGCAAUAAUUCAUGCUGGAGGUUUUUUUGUGGUUUGGGAAACGUGUCAAUGUAAUUUAACUUGGAUUAUAAUGUCGUUUUAUGGGCUCUUUCUCAGGUUUCUCAAUGUAGCACUCAGAGUUUGAUUACACGUGCCCCUUGUUCUCAUUCUGUACCACUUUUGAUCCUCGUUCUGUGAACAGUUUUCAAGUACUUUUCUGUCCAUUUUAAUCUAAAGUUGAAAUUAUGUCGUCCCCUAGUUUACGCUGUUUCGUGACCUUGAUGGCAAGAAUUUGAACUCGGUACUCAGUCUCAAUGUGGAUUGUGACCCUCUGAGCUAUUUAGUUGGCAAAGUGUGUUGGUUUAUCGUGUGUGCACUUUCAUUCUGUAUUAGUUUUAAAAUUUGUUUUUGCUGGGCUUUGUGUAAAACGCUCAUUAUGGAUAAAUGUGCCUGUGGAGCAAAACAUUAAAUAUGCAGCAGAACCAUUUUGUGAGAAGUUAGUUUCACUCAUUGGAAGGUAUCAUAUGCUGACUUGCUUUUGUCAGUAGUCAUUGAGGGAUUAGGUUAUAUUAUCUUCUUGUCUCUAUUUUGACUACCGUGCAUAAAAAAAUCUGCAAUGAUGUAUGUUCCACUGAAGUAAAGCCACCUUUUGGAGAAUUUUUGGCUGUCUGUUAUUUACUGUGUUUCUUAGAAAGUCCUAAGCAUUUUCCUGCUGACUGUAUUUUUCACUGCUCCCACCCAGAGAGAGAGAGCGAUGUUUGUACGUCACUACAUCAUUAUCACCUUUUAGCUAGUCCCAUAACUCCCAACUUGUUUUGUUUAAAAACUCAAUUACAUGAGGAUGACAAGCUGCACGCGUUUUAAGUAUUCGCUGGUGGUUUACUACAUAGACACGUAGAAUGAGCGAGUUGAGUUCUGAGGAAAGAUUGGAAAGGCUGGGCUUUAGAAGAGUGAAGAGUGACUUGACUAAAGUGUGAAAGAUCCUAACUGGUCUUGACAACAUGGCUGUAGAACAGACCUUUCCUGUGAAUGCAACUUAUUCAUCUAUAGUGUUUGAUACAUGGUUUUAUUGAAUUUUGUGCAUGGCCGCUGAAGCAACUCAUUUGAAACCCUAGUUCUUUGUAAUCUCAUGAGUCAAAUAUUUCUGUGCUGUCUUUGUCAGCUUCCCAUCUUCCACCAGGUGUGAACUGAUAUUCAUCCAAAUGUCGGCUCCCACAUCUAAACUCCCAUCAAGUGCCAUUCACUCAUCACUAUUACACUCACUGACCUAUUUUGGCUCCUGGUCUGGCAUUGUCAAUUUUAUAAAUCUUAGCCUUGUUUUAAAAAUCCCAGUAUAGCCUUUCCUCCUGCCUAUCUCUAUACUCUCUCCUCCAGCCAAACAAAUCUUGGAGACCACACUGCUCCUCCAGUUGUGGUCACUUGCACAUUCCUGAUCUUACUGACUCCUUCAUUUGAGGUUGUGUUUUCAAUUAUCUGCUACUGUCUUUCUUAAUACCUCUUCCUGUUGCUGUGUGUCACAUUGUGCUCAAUAGUCCUCUUUUGCAGGGACGGAGCAGGUAUGUUCGGUUUGCUAGAUGGUUGGCGUCUGGAUCAGAUUAACACCACAACACUGUUAGAACCUUGUUCCUGUUGAGGUAGACUCACUGCCUGCUUUCAUCACCCUACCCACAGUAAACAAAAAGUAUUGGUCAGCAAAUAAUUGCAGAGGACCUGACCCUGGGCAGAGAUCUCAAGAUGAAGAAUAUUCUUGCAAAGCAUCUUGAGAUGUUUUACUGUGUUGAAGGGCUGUGUAAGUGCAAGUUUUUGAUGUUAGUAGAUGAUUUGAGAAUCCUUCCCAGAGGUGUUUUGUCAAGAAGAUCAAUUCCACCUCCCCUGUGUUCACGUUGUAAUAAUGAAGUCACUCCACUUGCCAGAUUUGGAGAGAAAGUCCUGUUUCUCUGAAGUUCAAAUCUGAGCUUCAAUUAUGAACAAGAUCAAAUAGAAGACCAAAUCUGGCAACACAUUACAGUUAAAGUCUUAAAAGAAAAUACAGUUAAUUUGAACCAUCACUGAUGGAUGCUUCCAUCUAUUGUAAUUUUCUUAAAAACAAAAAAAAACAAAGCGAUUGUGUGGAUUUUUGGUUAUGAUAUUAAAUUAAAUCCAUCUGUUUGCGGUAUCCCAAUAAUUGUAUUUUGUUUACGAUCUUUACUCAGUGAAGGUCAUGCAACAAAUUCCAUUCUGGUUCAUUUGGGAACAGCGGGCACCUGUCUUCAUAUGGAGAGAAACCUGUAGGAGAGCAUCUGGUAUCAAGAAUACCUGGAAAAUCAGGUUACGUGGCUCACGAGUUCAUCUUGGAUGUGCGGCCAUUCAAGAAAACAGCUAACAUCGAAGCAGUAGAUGUUGCCAAGAGGCUUCAAGAUUAUGGAUUCCAUGCCCCAACUAUGUCCUGGCCUGUUUCGGGUACGUUG